rnacentral:lncRNA from 1 species
UUUCAAAUUUCUUUAUUUAUUUUUAUCAUCAGAAAUGUUUUGUAAGCCAAAUCUCAUGAAGAAAAACAGUGUAAAAUUUAUUGAAAUAUGAAUUAUACAAACCUAGGAGAUGGGUACAUGGGGUUUAUUAUAAUGUUCUUAAGGCUUUUGAAUAUGUCUUAAACUUUCUGAAAAGCAUAAAAGAAGUUAAGAGUAUAACUGUCCUGUUUGAACCAGGAGAUGGACAAUCUGAGGCCAGUCUACUUCUCUACUUAGCUGCCGGUUUAUAGAAUUCCCACAAUUCCUCAGAACAAACUUCAAAAUUUCUGCCAUUGACAAAUACUUCUGAAGUUUCUAUGAUCUAAUAAUUAAGUAUAAGCAGGAAUGUUGUGCAAUCACCAUGGAAAAUACUUUACAAUUACUAUUUUGUGAAUGCUUGUGACAAUCUGACAUGAUGGGUACUAUGAACAUCCUCAUUUUGCAAAUGGAGCAACUGUGGCUUGGAGAGGGCAUGUAAUUGGCUCAAGUUCAAGUAGCUGGUAAUUGAAGGAGCUGUGAUUCAAGCCCAGGCCGCCUGACUUCACAUUAAUAACUACAUUAAUUAGAGCAGUUGAUACUCAAGUUUACUUCAACAACAAAAAUAUAACAACCCCAAAUUCAAUCCUUUAUUCAGGAUGAGGAUUUUCCAGUUAACAAGCUAUUUGCACAAGAUAAGGAGUUUGUCCGCACACAUCAACAACAGCCAGAAGGAAAAAGAUCGUAUUCCGGUUCUCACCAGAGUCCCUUCAAUGAGAUGUCAAUCAAAGUAUAUACAGGACAAUAGUUGCAUCAUACCACCGAGGAAACAGCUUUCACGUAAGUUUUAGAUAUACAACUAGAGCUUCCAGAAAGAAAGAUACACAAAGUUGAAUCCACAUUUUGCCUUGCUGGGCAUAUAUAUCCUACUCUAUGCAAUUUGCAUGACCUGACAUGAAGACAGGCGAGCUCACCUUUAGAAGUGGUCAUCAUUAAAAUGCAGGCUGUCUAUCAAGAGAAAUUGUCUCCCAGAAAUCAAUACCUUAAAAACCCUUGUGGCUAACUGUUCUCCCAGACACUUUCAAAUUUUUAUAAUGCUGAAAAGUAGUGUGGAGGAAGUAGAGGUUCCAUUUCUUUGAUUUCUUUUUAUCACAUUCUGUCAGUCCUCGAUCAAGUUUCAUAACUCAAAGACAUACAUUUACC